rnacentral:rRNA from 1 species
UACAGAGGGUGCAAGCGUUAAUCGGAAUUACUGGGCGUAAAGCGUGCGUAGACGGUUAUGUAAGUCAGAUGUAAAAGCCCCGGGCUUAACCUGGGAAUGGCAUUUGAGACUGCAUAGCUAGGGUGCGGAAGAGGGAAGCGGAAUUUCCGGUGUAGCGGUGAAAUGCGUAGAUAUCGGAAGGAACACCAGUGGCGAAAGCGGCUUCCUGGUCCAGCACCGACGUUCAGGCACGAAAGCGUGGGGAGCAAACAGG